CAUAAAAAUCAAUGUAUUAAACUAGACAAUUCUAGGAGGAUACUAGAUACUUCUCAAAUAAAAUUCAUAGGCAUCAAUCUAGAGAAUUCUAUAAACUUAUAUAAUCAUUCAAGUGUCUAGAUCCUUCCAUGGAGUAGUAUAAAUAUGUGAUGUUGUAUCUCAUUUUGUAAUCAAGAAAAUCAAUAAAAUAACAAAAGCCUUCUUCAAUAUAAAAUUUUAUCUCCAUUCCAAUUCUCUACAUUUCCUAAGCUCUUUUCUUCUCAUUCUAAAUAUUACUCUCCUUCUCCAACAGUUUGGCCUUCAAUCGCCUCUGAAAUAGCCCGAAUUCACUCAUAUCCACUAUGUCUGACAUUUAUCUCACAACCGGCGAGUAUUUUGCACUAACAACCAACCAGAACAACAUGUGAGACUGGAAAUAGGGUUUAAUCUGUAAAAUUAUCCAUCUAUCUCCAAUACAGAAACCGAUAGAAUUAGUAAGAAAACAGGCAGUCAAAAAUAACAUCUUAUAAGUACAACUAUGACAAUCAUACUUCGCUGUCGUGAAAUCAGGGCUUAUGGUAGCUUCGUUUGGCCAUAAAUUUUGCAAAGUUGUUUUCAGAAAAUAUUUGGCAAAACUUUUUUGUUUUCCAAAAAGGUCAUGGACUUGGUAGUUGGUACUUCUUCCUCUUCAUAAUUAAAUCGUCGGUGAGGUUUUUCCACAAAUGGGACUCUCACAUAAAUGUUUGUUUAUUUACACACGUUUUUGGUCCACUGUUCCUUUAUUUACACAAGUUUGUACCCCAAACCCUGAAUUUACGACAGCUAAGCCCCAUUUGGCCAUAAAUUUUGCCAAGUUUUUUUCAAAAAUUAUUUGAUAAAACAUUUUUGUUUAUAGAUUUUAUUCAUAUUCUGACAGAUUUUAAAAACAAAAUUUAAAAUUCCAAAUCUAGCUCUACACAUGUUUU
rnacentral:lncRNA from 1 species